rnacentral:rRNA from 1 species
AGGACGAACGCUGGCGGCGUGCUUAACACAUGCAAGUCGAGCGAGGCCCCUCCUUCGGGAGGGUGUCCUAGCGGCGAACGGGUGAGUAACACGUGGGCAACCUGCCCUCAGCUCUGGGAUAACCCCGGGAAACCGGGGCUAAUACCGGAUACGACCUCCACGGGCAUCUGCGGAGGUGGAAAGGUUUUCCGGCUGAGGAUGGGCCCGCGGCCUAUCAGCUAGUUGGUGAGGUAACGGCUCACCAAGGCUUCG